rnacentral:rRNA from 1 species
GAUGAACGCUAGCGGCAGGCCUAACACAUGCAAGUCGAGGGGCAGCAUUUCCAGCUUGCUGGAAGAUGGCGACCGGCGCACGGGUGCGCAACGCGUAUGGAACCUGCCCUCUGCAGGGGAAUAGCCCAUGGAAACGUGGAUUAAUGCCCCAUAGUAUCACUCCCCCGCAUGGGCGGGGUGAUUAAAGCCUUCGGGCGGCAGGGGAUGGCCAUGCGUACCAUUAGCUAGUUGGUAAGGUAACGGCUUACCAAGGCUACGAUGGUUAGGGGCCCUGAGAGGGGGAUCCCCCACACUGGUACUGAGACACGGACCAGACUCCUACGGGAGGCAGCAGUGAGGAAUAUUGGACAAUGGGCGGGAGCCU